rnacentral:tRNA from 7 species
GGCCAGGUAGCUCAGUCGGUAGAGCAGCGGACUGAAAAUCCGCGUGUCGUUGGUUCGAUUCCGACCCUGGCCACCA